rnacentral:rRNA from 1 species
GACGAACGCUGGCGGCGUGCUUAACACAUGCAAGUCGAACGGGAUUUAGUAAACAGAAGCCUCGGUGGAAGAUUACUAAUGAGAGUGGCGAACGGGUGAGUAACGCGUGAGCAACCUGCCUAUGACAGUGGGAUAGCCUCGGGAAACCGGGAUUAAUACCGCAUAAAAUCGUAGGAACACAUGUUUUAACGGUCAAAGAUUUAUCGGUCAUAGAUGGGCUCGCGUCUGAUUAGCUAGUUGGUGAGAUAACAGCCCACCAAGGCGACGAUCAGUAGCCGGUCUGAGAGGAUGAACGGCCACAUUGGAACUGAGACACGGUCCAAACUCCUACGGGAGGCAGCAGUGGGGAAUAUUGCACAAUGGGGGAAACCCUGAUGCAGCGACGCCGCGUGAACGAAGAAGGUAUUCGUAUCGUAAAGUUCUGUCCUAUGGGAAGAUAAUGACAGUACCAUAGAAGAAAGCUCCGGCUAAAUACGUG